rnacentral:rRNA from 1 species
GAUGAACGCUGGCGGCGUGCCUAAUACAUGCAAGUCGAGCGAACAGAUCAUGAUCUUGCUCCUUUUACGUUAGCGGCUGACGUGUGAGUAACACGUGUUUAACCUACCUAUAAUUCUUGGAUAACUUCGGGAAACCGUAGCUAAUACCGGAUAACAUUUUGAACCGCAUGGUUCUAUAGUGAAUGAUGGUUUUGCUAUCACUUAUAGAUGGACCCGCGCCGUAUAGCUAGUUGGUAAGGUAACGGCUUACCAAGGCAACGAUACGUAGCCGACCUGAGAGGGGGAUCGGCCACACUGGAAGUGAGACAGGGACCAGACUCCUACGGGAGGAAGCAGUAGGGAAUCUUACGGAAUGGGCGAAAGCAUGACGGAGCAACGGCGCGUGAGUGAUGAAGGGGUUCGGGUCGUAAAACGCUGUUAUUAGGGAAGAAAAAAAGUGUAAGUAAAUGUGCACGGCAUGACGGUACCUAAUCAGAAAGCAACGGCUAACUACGUG